GAGGUAUGUGCAGCUCCUUGCUAAGCCUCCCUUCCUGCCACCAGCUCCAGGAGCACAAAGGCCUUUUCUGCAAUUUGCCUUUCAUGUAUUAAUGAAUCUGGGAAGAUCACAGCCAUCUUCAGAGAAGGAAACGUAAAACUCCUUUCAGAGCACUUGGAAUGGCAUUUGGUAGUCUUCAGGAUAAGUUUACGGGUCUUUUUCCCCCAGAGGGAAUAAAUAACAGUAAUAACAGCUCUUCCUUUAAUUCCUGUCCCCACUAAUGACCCGGGAGGGCUUUAUCAGGCACAAACAGCAAGUGGAAACCACCUGGUUACAAGUCCAAUGCUGUGAGUCCCAGAUACAGCUCUGCUCUCUCCUCACCCACACAGGGUUUGUCGACCAUCAGAGAGCAGCAGGAACUGGAAUGUGUUCCAGUUUUAGGCAUCAGAAGGUAAAUACCUUGAGAUGUGUUCCGGGAUUCCACAUGAGACCCGAACACGAAGCCGCUGCUCCCAGGAAUGCCCCACACCAUUCCAGAUUCCAGAAACACGGUUGCCAUUGCUCCUCCAAGGUUUAUUUUUAUUAUUUAAAACGUCAAAUUAGCAUGGCCUAAUUUCCCCCUCCCCCGAAGUGGGUGGAUGCACCUGUGUUUCUCCUAAAAUAAUCCUCCAAAUGUGGGGGAAAAUCUGGGCUUGAUGUGCUUUAGCAUAUGUACUUAGAGGGGUAAAUCCUCCCAAUUUGCUUGCUCCUGGUUUGCAAGCAGGCGUAAUUGUAAACUCAUUUACAUGGAUUAAAGCCAGCAAGGCCAUCCUGAUGGAGAGAGGAAAUGUGCUCUCCCAGCAGUGGCAGAGGUCAGCGUGGCUGGAAUUGCUGAGGCUGAGGAAUUCCUGACAAACCAGUGAUGCUGGCACGGGCUCCCCCUCCGUGGAACUGUGCAGCCCACCUAGGGAAGAGCUGAGGGCUUCUGAGUCUUCAUUUUAUGGUGCCCAAUACCCAAACUCCCCUCUCCCAGCCUCCCCAAACCAGCAGCAUAGCUGGGACACCAGCCUACACGUAUAUGCUCAUUGUUCAGCUCAGUCCAUUCAAGGUUAUUUUGAAGCCUUUUAAAUGAACUCAUGAGCCCUUUUUGAUUUUUUAAGUAAUUAAAUUCACAUUUUUACUUUGUAUUUUCAUAUGUCUUUCCCACCCUGCCACUGUCACUUUCUAGCGGUGUUCCAUCUAAGUUUCCUUCAGAAGUCACCUGCCUGCCAGGAAUAUUUUGCUUCAUGAACUUCCCUCUUGUCUGCUAAGGAUCUGGGUUAGAGCUGGGAUGACCUUUUGCUUGUUCAUGUUUUCCAGUGGUGGAGAAAGCACAGGGCUCCAACCAGCCCAAACUACCAGUGCAGUUUAUUGCUUGGCCUCACAAAGAGCUGUGGUGUGAUGGGUGAUGGAGGAACAAGGAAAGGGCCAGACGCCCCUGAGGCAGCAUUGCUACCAAAGUAAAGGAAUAUUGACUCUCAGUGUGAGAUUUUGAAAAUCCCAACCUUUAGCUGUUGAAAGCCAUAUUUUACAGGAUAUUUGAAGCAUACAUUGUAUAUGCCCAAUAUAACCAGCUGAGCUGAGCAUAUUUCCUCCUUCCCCAUCCUUUUAAAUUGGAAAAAUAGUGGAUUUCUUUUCCUGUGUGGAAAAGCAAGGAGCGGUACCAGUGAGCUCCUCAAAAGACAAACAUUCCCCCAGUCUAAUGCCCUCUGACUGGGCCAGGCUAAUCUGGACCAGAGAGAGCCCCACAGAAACCAUGCAGAAGGAACAGCCAGAAAUUCCUAAUAAUGCCUUAGAGCAUAAUUUCCUGGAAAACAGCAGGAUUCUGCCACCUGUCUCCUGUGUCACUCCUCUUUAAGGACCCCUUUUUUAUCUCCUCCCAGUUCCAAGACAGCAGACACCCAUAAACAACUCCACAGCUGAGGGCUGUGGUGGCAGCUCUGAAGCAGGGCCAGGUCCCAGGGCUCUUCCCACACCUGCUCCAAGGCCACGGCCAGUGGCUCCUGAACCUGUGCCCUCCGAGCCAAAUCACUACCAACAGGUCUCUCCAGCUGCUGAAGGGACAGACUUUAACAACCCAUUUGAAAUUGUAAAUGUCUCUGAUAUGUAUUCCCUGGGGCUUCUAAUCCAGCAGCUGGAUAAUGCUUGAGUGGCAUUUAGACCAUGCAAAUGCCAUUGAGAGCUAAGUUCCAUAAUAAACCCAGCACUACCUGCGAGAUGUAUUUUAAACCUGUUGCAUUUAUCACUUCAAUUGGUACUGAAAGGAAGAAAAAUGGGUCAAGCAUAUUAUCCAAGAAAAUUAGCACAGCGCUUGCAUAGGAAUGCUUUGCACUUCCAAUGAUUUAUAUGGAUUUCUGGCCUGGGUUUAGUACAGCCUGACUGAGGGAUUUCACCCAAACAGCCCCAUGUCUUUUCACUUACAGCAGAAGAUCAGCAAACAAAAGAUACUAGUUAACAUCAAGUAGUACAUUAAAUAGUGAUAUCUGUCACACGAAGAUACUCACACAGGGCCCAGGAUUCUGGCCUCCUCACUCUAAACCCACACCUGAUUUUCUUUCUCAAGGUAGAUACAUCUCUCCAUAUUCUUCAUUCCCUCCCCAGAGAGGGGUUAACAGUCCUUAUCUAACCGCCACAGAAAGAUUAAUAAAGGUAAAAUUAAUGGAAAAUGCAAAACUGUAAGGGGUACUAUUAUUGUUAUUACUAUGAUGUUGCCUGUCAAGUUUCCCCCAGAGUGCUGAGCCAGCCACGCUGCACAGGGAGAGCUCAGUGACACAUUUACCUGGGUGACCUGAAGUGCCCUGUAUUGUGUCAGAUUUUAGUAUUUGUACUGACAGUCACUUUGCACCUGACCUUUAGCCUAGGACAAGGAAAAAAGGAGAAAGAAGGAAAGGCUGGAGAGCCAGGCACUGUGAGGAAUUCUUGUAGUUAAAUAACAGAAGGAAGAAGGCAGGACCAUGGCACAUCCUCUGCCCACCGCAAUACCCACCACCAAACCCACCGCAAUACCCUUGGCUGUGCUGGUACGCCUGGAGCCACGUCUUCCACAUGGGACACCCUGGCAGGAGCCUCAUGAAAAAAGGGAAGUGUUUACACAAAAUUCCUUCAGCAAGGAAUGAAAGGGAAGUGCCUGGAAUGAAUGAAAGGUAACUUUUGCUUGAUUUGAAGGAAAAAAAACCCACAACAGCAAACAGAGGAUAAAAUUUAGGAUGAUUUAAAAAAAAAAAUAAAAAUUUAAAAAGAGGUUUCUACCACCGCAAAAUUCCUCGAUGUAUUUCCAAAUCACCAUUGUUAUUUUGACUGUUUGGAAGGUAGAUUAUCAAGCAAAAAAGGAGAGAACUGCUAAAAAAUGGGAAAGUUUGUAACCAUGAAACAGUAGGGGAUACCACUUUCCCUCCUCUCAGUUUUGCUGCCAAGUAUGAAUGAGAAGGCAGCAGUUCAGCCCACCAUCGAUCAAAUUCCACCCUGUGUUUACAGUUCAAAUUAAUAGGGGGGAAAUCAGUGCCUGCAUUUGUUCACUCAUCUGCGGACUGCCAGAAUAACCUCUAAGGGUUCAUUCUUUUGCCUACAGCCAUUUGCACUGCCCCAUUUAAUAUGUGUAAAUGAGAUGCUGAUCUGAAAGUGAAGAAAAAUAAACCAAUUCAAAAUGAUGUAGUAACAAACAAGAAAAAAAAAAAAGCUAUGUUGCUGUCUCCAGUGAGUAUUAUUUGUAAUGAAAGUCCAGGUACCUACAUAAUGGUUUGAAAGGUUAGAGAUGUCCUUCUCUGCUGCAUUUGUGACAGAAUAACUCAGUUUCCAAUUACUCUUUAUCAUGGAAUCACAGAAUGGUUUGGGUUGGAAGGGACCUUUAAAGGUCAUCUUGUCCAACCCUGCUGUAAUGAGCAGGGACAUCUUCUUUAAAACUAAUUAAUCUUUAAAAGUGGUAAAGGACUUGAUCACCUUUCUCAGCCACAGAACCCUAGAUACAUAAUGGAAAAGGUACGGUGGGUGUUCCUGGAAUGCCACACAAUAUUUUCCUCUAUACACACGUCUCACUGCAGAACUUCAACCGGACAACCACACGUGGGCUCAGCAACACUCCUGGCACUGGAAGAACUGCCUGGGGACUGGCAACUGCUUUAUCAGGACAUUAACUGGACACCCCCAGUUUUAGGGAGAGUGAAAUGAAUGAGUCACACUGCUGACACUUGUGACACAGCCUGUCCCUGACACUGCAUGGUAUCGACAUGACUGCGAAGGCAUCUCUGUGGAACUGUCCUGGGGAACAAAAUCCAACCAAAAGGAUGGUUUCCUUGACAAUGGUUAGAACUGUGAAAUUGAGAAAGACCAGAAACAGGUCUGAGUCAGGUUUUUAUCAUCUCUCCUAGUGAAGUAUAACAGCAGCAAGAGCAAAGGCUCACUGGAGCUGGAGCACCCUAACUCACUGUCUGUGUGCCUUUGGCCAUCCCUUAUCAGCAGUACACUGCCAAGCAUUCGGGGUAUUUUGUUGGGCAAUACUAUAUUUUUGUGCUUUUGGCAUAUAGUGCUUUUGGAAAACUCCACAAAAGAGUAUGGCGUAAUAAACACUUGAAGAAAA